rnacentral:rRNA from 1 species
AGUGAACGCUGGCGGUAGGCCUAACACAUGCAAGUCGAACGGCAGCACAGGAGAGCUUGCUCUCUGGGCGGCGAGUGGCGGACGGGUGAGGAAUACAUCGGAAUCUACCUUUUCGUGGGGGAUAACGUAGGGAAACUUACGCUAAUACCGCAUACGACCUACGGGUGAAAGUGGGGGACCGCAAGGCCUCACGCGAUUAGAUGAGCCGAUGUCCGAUUUGCUAGUUGGCGGGGUAAUGGCCCACCAAGGCGACGAUCGGUAGCUGGUCUGAGAGGAUGAUCAGCCACACUGGAACUGAGACACGGUCCAGACUCCUACGGGAGGCAGCAGUGGGGAAUAUUGGACAAUGGGCGCAAGCCUAAUCCAGCCAUACCGCGUGGGUGAAGAAGGCCUUCGGGUUGUAAAGCCCUUUUGUUGGGAAAGAAAUCCUGUCGAUUAAUACUCGGUGGGGAUGACGGUACCCAAAGAAUAAGCACCGGCUAACUUCGUGCCAGCAGCCGCCGUAAGAC